rnacentral:rRNA from 1 species
GGCCAGCAGCCGCGGUAAUACGUAGGGGGCGAGCGUUAUCCGGAUUUAUUGGGUGUAAAGGGUGUGUAGGUGGUUUAUUAAGUCUAAAAUUAAAGCCUGGAGCUUAACUCCAGUUCGUUUUAGAAACUGGUAGACUUGAGUAUAGUAGAGGUAAGUGGAAUUUCUAGUGUAGCGGUUAAAUGCGUAGAUAUUAGAAGGAACACCAGUGGCGAAGGCGGCUUACUGGGCUAUUACUGACACUGAGACACGAAAGCGUGGGGAGCAAAUAGGAUUAGAUACCCUAGUAGUCCACGCCGUAAACGAUGAGUACUAAGUGUCGGGAAACCGGUGCUGAAGUUAACACAUUAAGUACUCCACCUGAGUAGUACGGUCGCAAGGCUGAAACUUAAAGGAAUUGACGGGGGCCCGCACA